GAUGAAGAACGUAGCGAAAUGCGAUAACUAAUGUGAAUUGCAGAAUUCAGUGAAUCAUCGAAUCUUUGAACGCACAUUGCGCCCCUUGGUAUUCCAUGGGGCAUGCCUGUUCGAGCGUCAUUUGUACCUUCAAGCUCUGCUUGGUGUUGGGUGUUUGUCUCGCCUCUGCGUGUAGACUCGCCUCAAAACAAUUGGCAGCCGGCGUAUUGAUUUCGGAGCGCAGUACAUCUCGCGCUUUGCACUCAUAACGACGACGUCCAAAAGUACAUUUUUACACUCUUGACCUCGGAUCAGGUAGGGAUACCCGCUGAACUUAAGCAUAUCAAUAAGCGGAGGA
rnacentral:misc_RNA from 1 species